CACCUUGAAUCCAUCUUAAAAUGGACUGUUGCAAGUUGGCAACACUAAAUUUCAUAUCCUUGAAAGAUUCGAAGUACCAUAAUCAACGUAUCAUAAAUCUCACUUUUCAAGUGGAAAACAAGAAAAAUGAGAGAGAGAGAGAGAGUUUUCAAAUGAUCAUUGAUGGGAGACUUCUAUUUAUUCCCUCUUUACCGUGAAUCUGUCGCUUCCAAGAUUUCCAUUGACAAGUAAUUUUCUUGCAAAACCCAAUUUUAGCAGAAGAUAAGCCAAGAAGGUCUUGAUCUCCUAAUUUCUGCUUUCUGCAAAGCCUUGUAAAUCAAGAAUUGUGCCCUUUGAUGCUGUUUUUCUUCAGGGUCAAACAUUUCUAUCUUCGAAUAUGCAUAAUGUCUGUUCAAAAUGUCCAUUUUGCGAUUUUGAUGA